UCUUCACUAAUCACUCCCCGAAACAACAGCAAAGCAAAACAAAUAAUCGGGGGGUUUUUAAUUUUCAAUUUUCCCAUUUUCCUCCCUCUCUCUCGAAUUGGGGAAUCUUGGUUCAUCCGCCGAAACGGUGGAAUCAGAUGGAUGAAGAAGACAACUCGGCGACACUUCGAUGACACCUCUCAACAAAUCAAUGACUAGAUGAGAAAAGUGGACAACAAUGAAGUAUUCAUUCCCAGUCUUUGUUGUAGAGUAGCAGAGCAAGCUGGAGUUCGAUGAGUUGAUAUAAACAUCAACUGAACACAAUGGAAUACCAUAUGAGGUUAAUAUUUUUUUUUCUCUUUUUUGCUCUAUUAUACAUGUAUGUUCGAUAUUUCGGAGGGUGAUUGUGUGAUGUUUUAGGUCCCCAAGAAAUUGACCAUAUGAGAUGAUCACGUCAUGUUGUCAUGUUUGCUUUUGUACGGAUUUAGCUACCGGUUUGUUUUAGAAAAUUGGUUGAUGCUUGGUGAGUUACACUGCCCUUACAUUUUUCAUCUUUAAGCAAAAAUGGAAUACUAGAUCACAGAGUGUCCAUCCAAGUAUGAGGAGAGCUAAUAUCGGAUUCUAGGGAAGUUUUUGAAAGUAUCUUAGGAUAUAUUGUUCUUUUUAUUUUCGCUAAACAAGAUAUGUCACAAGGAAAGCUGCGGACAUUAUGUCCAGUUACAUUGUAACACCCAUCUUGCUUUUUUUUUAAAGAAAAAAAAUCAUAAACUCGA